rnacentral:rRNA from 1 species
GACGAACGCUGGCGGCGUGCUUAACACAUGCAAGUCGAACGGAAAGGCCCUGCUUUUGUGGGGUUCUCGAGUGGCGAACGGGUGAGUAACACGUGAGUAACCUGCCCUUGACUUUGGGAUAACUUCAGGAAACUGGGGCUAAUACCGGAUAGGAGCUCCUGCUGCAUGGUGGGGGUUGGAAAGUUUCGGCGGUUGGGGAUGGACUCGCGGCUUAUCAGCUUGUUGGUGUGGUAGCGGCUUACCAAGGCUUUGACGGGUAGCCGGCCUGAGAGGGUGACCGGGCACAUUGGGACUGAGAUACGGCCCAGACUCCUACGGGAGGCAGCAGUGGGGAAUAUUGCACAAUGGGCGGAAGCCUGAUGCAGCAGCGCCGCGUGCGGGAUGACGGCCUUCGGGUUGUAAACCGCUUUCGCCUGUGACGAGGCGUGAGUGACGGUAAUGGGUAAAGAAGCACCGGCUAACUACGUG